UGUCUAUUUAGGAUAUGUUGAGCCAACAAAGAAGGCGCAUUUGGAAAAUGCCUAUAAGCAGGCUGGAAUUUGGAAAAAAAUGUUAUAAAUCGAGCGGCUCAUUUACGAUGUGCUCCAAAUAUUUGGCGAACUUUUUUCGCCUUUUCAACGUGCUAAGUAACAAGGAAAGGGCAGACAAUCUUCCAGGAAGCUGCCUCCUGUCCCCGAGUCGAAGCAGAAGUUCAGCAAGAAGCAGGUCAGCAAACUGCUACCCUGAUCAAACGUAAACUAAAGCGCUCUGCUGUGAUUGCACUCUGCAAACGUGAAAACUUCGUGCAUGCUGAGAAAUAUCAAACAAGAAAACUCGGUGAUGGACGCCGUGGGAUGAAGUUGCGCUGUGUGGCAAAGAAAUGCGGCCAAUUCUACGGGCCUGAAAAAUCCAAAUUGGCUUUUGUGAUCCGUAUCCGCGGUAUCAA